rnacentral:tRNA from 1 species
GGGGAAAAGGCUCAGUGGUAGAGCAUAUGCUUAGCAUGCACAAGGUCCUGGGUUCAAUCCCCAGUGCCUCCA